rnacentral:rRNA from 1 species
UACGUAGGGUGCAAGCGUUAUCCGGAAUUAUUGGGCGUAAAGAGCUCGUAGGCGGUUUGUCACGUCUGCUGUGAAAACUGGAGGCUCAACCUCCAGCCUGCAGUGGGUACGGGCAGACUAGAGUGCGGUAGGGGAGAUUGGAAUUCCUGGGUGUAGCGGUGGAAUGCGCAGAUAUCAGGAGGAACACCGAUGGCGAAGGCAGAUCUCUGGGCCGUAACUGACGCUGAGGAGCGAAAGCAUGGGGAGCGAACAGG